GUGCAUGGCUUAGUGGUUAAAGUAUUUGGCUCUCAAUCGAAGGUCUUAAGUUCGAUUCCUAGUGGCACA
rnacentral:tRNA from 1 species